rnacentral:rRNA from 1 species
GACGAACGCUGGCGGCGUGCUUAACACAUGCAAGUCGAACGGAAAGGCCCUGCUUUUGUGGGGUGCUCGAGUGGCGAACGGGUGAGUAACACGUGAGUAACCUGCCCUUGACUUUGGGAUAACUUCAGGAAACUGGGGCUAAUACCGGAUAGGAGCUCCUGCUGCAUGGUGGGGGUUGGAAAGUUUCGGCGGUUGGGGAUGGACUCGCGGCUUAUCAGCUUGUUGGUGGGGUAGUGGCUUACCAAGGCGUUGACGGGUAGCCGGCCUGAGAGGGUGACCGGCCACAUUGGGACUGAGAUGCGGCCCAGACUCCUACGGGAGGCAGCAGUGGGGAAUAUUGCACUAUGGGCGGAAGCCUGAUGCAGCAACGCCGCGUGCGGGAUGACGGCCUUCGGGUUGUAAACCGCUUUCGCCUGUGCCGAAGCGUGAGUGACGGUAAUGGGUAAAGAAGCACCGGCUAACUACGUG